AAGGCCUUACGAAAGCACCGCCGUGCUUUUAUUAAGAGCGACAACCCUCAGUGCCUUGUGGAGAGGUGGGGUUGGUUUGGUGCGUGCUCCCCAGCUGCUCCUCUCUUGCCCAGCAGUCCCCCGUGACGUGCAAAGGGGAGCCGCUCUGUUCGUUCCCCUGGGUCGGUGAUGGGUGUUGGCAUGUAUUAGCUGAGCAUAAACCUGAAGACUAUCAGCUUAGCUCUAGAAUUACUCUGAGACCUGGGAAGCGAACUUCUUGUUGCCCCUUUAUCGGCAAGGAGGGUGCAGCUGUAUUUGCACGUGGCUCCCGUGACGGGAGAACGUGCCGAAUCUGGGCGCAGCACUGCUGCUUGGUUGCUCGGGUCGAUCCCCACGGCAGCUAGCAGCACGGGUUUUAUCGGCGUGGGUUACCAGACAUCGCCCCCAACAGCAACUGGAUUCCAGUUCCAGGAGGUGGAAAAUGUCAAUAACUGCUUGUGUCUGGAGGGGGGGGUGGGGAAAGCUGCAGUUACUUUUCGUGUCCCCGAAAGAGGGGGAGGCACUGUUGCCUGUGCUGCUUGUUGCUGUGCUGAAAACAUGCAGGUUGUAAGUACUGCAUCAAGAAGGUGAUGCUCGCGGGUGACGUAGGCAGACAAGAGGAGAGAUGCAUAUGAGAAUUCCCUUUGUAGUGCCACCUCAGGUCGUGGCAGCUUUGGCACUCGACAAAGUAAAAAUCAUGCCCUGCUUCGGGGCGCAGUCUGUCGGGAGUACUUGAGGACGAGCGGCGUUUCCUGGGGGCAGACAGCGAGGGAUCCCGUGGGACGACGGCUGCACCGACUGACGGCAGACGGAAUUCUGGCGUUCAUCAGAUCACGCCAGCGCACGUGGUGCGAAGUAAAAAUCAUGCCCUGCUUCGGGGCGCAGUCUGUCGGGAGUACUUGAGGACGAGCGGCGUUUCCUGGGGGCAGACAGCGAGGGAUCCCGUGGGACGACGGCUGCACCGACUGACGGCAGACGGAAUUCUGGCGUUCAUCAGAUCACGCCAGCGCACGUGGUGCGAGGGGGAAAAGAAAAGAAAAAAGGGACGCCAAACCAAGAAGAGAACGUUGCCUGAAUCUUAUUUUUUCACCAAGGCUAUCUCCACCUGUUCUGUCUUUGAUUUUCCUUCUCACGCAAACGGCGGUGAAAAACAAUACGGAGAAAAAGGCUCCAGUGCUUGCCAACAGCGGCUUGGUUGUUCGCGUGAUGUAUCUCUCGUCCCAUCUCGAGGAAGAAAUCUGUUAGCGGUGUUACAAAUGAAGUAGCAUCCUGCUUUGGGCAGAAACUGUGCUGCAUUUGAAAGCCUGGGUAGGGCAGGCGGAGGUUGCCUUCUUGGGUCAGUGAUGAGUGUUGGCAUGUAUUACCUGAUGUAAAGCUGAUGUCUGUCACCACUUUAGCUCUAGAAUUAUUCUGAGACCCAGGCAACUCCAGUUUCUUUCCACUGUAUUUCUGAGCAUUUCCCCCAGUAUUUCUGAGGCUCUGCAGCUCUCCAGGGCAGUUCCCAACUACACGGCUGUCUGCAGGUUACGCUGGUUGAGGUUUUUUGGAUGUAUAUCUGACUGCACAGCAGCUGAAAAGGAGUUGUUCGCUUUGAUGCGCAGUCAACACACGGAUGGCUGGAGUUGUAACGCGCGCUUUGUCAGUGAGCGAGGAAACUAUCCGCGGGCUGGAAAAGGCAGCAGUGCCGAGGAACUCUGUGGUUAAUCGCUCUUGUUGUUCAGCGUGAAACCUGGGCUUGAGUGUUUUGUCGCCUGUUGUCGAGGAUGACUUGAAUGUAUUUUUCCUUGUCAUUGAAGAGUAUUUAUUUCAUUCCCUCCUCCCUGCGUUGUAGGAGUAAGAGCCCCAAGGUUCUCCCGGUGCGGUGCAACGCGACGCUGCGAAAGGAUGCGAUAAGAAACCCUGAUGCCCCGAGCACGUUGCCGUACGGGCCGCGUGUUUCUCCCGGAGUUUCGCCCGGGACACGGAAAGGUGACCGAAAGUAAAAAUCAUGCCCUGCUUCGGGGCGCAGUCUGUCGGGAGUACUUGAGGACGAGCGGCGUUUCCUGGGGGCAGACAGCGAGGGAUCCCGUGGGACGACGGCUGCACCGACUGACGGCAGACGGAAUUCUGGCGUUCAUCAGAUCACGCCAGCGCACGUGGUGCGAAGUAAAAAUCAUGCCCUGCUUCGGGGCGCAGUCUGUCGGGAGUACUUGAGGACGAGCGGCGUUUCCUGGGGGCAGACAGCGAGGGAUCCCGUGGGACGACGGCUGCACCGACUGACGGCAGACGGAAUUCUGGCGUUCAUCAGAUCACGCCAGCGCACGUGGUGCGAAGUAAAAAUCAUGCCCUGCUUCGGGGCGCAGUCUGUCGGGAGUACUUGAGGACGAGCGGCGUUUCCUGGGGGCAGACAGCGAGGGAUCCCGUGGGACGACGGCUGCACCGACUGACGGCAGACGGAAUUCUGGCGUUCAUCAGAUCACGCCAGCGCACGUGGUGCGAAGUAAAAAUCAUGCCCUGCUUCGGGGCGCAGUCUGUCGGGAGUACUUGAGGACGAGCGGCGUUUCCUGGGGGCAGACAGCGAGGGAUCCCGUGGGACGACGGCUGCACCGACUGACGGCAGACGGAAUUCUGGCGUUCAUCAGAUCACGCCAGCGCACGUGGUGCGAGGGGGAAAAGAAAAGAAAAAAGGGACGCCAAACCAAGAAGAGAACGUUGCCUGAAUCUUAUUUUUUCACCAAGGCUAUCUCCACCUGUUCUGUCUUUGAUUUUCCUUCUCACGCAAACGGCGGUGAAAAACAAUACGGAGAAAAAGGCUCCAGUGCUUGCCAACAGCGGCUUGGUUGUUCGCGUGAUGUAUCUCUCGUCCCAUCUCGAGGAAGAAAUCUGUUAGCGGUGUUACAAAUGAAGUAGCAUCCUGCUUUGGGCAGAAACUGUGCUGCAUUUGAAAGCCUGGGUAGGGCAGGCGGAGGUUGCCUUCUUGGGUCAGUGAUGAGUGUUGGCAUGUAUUACCUGAUGUAAAGCUGAUGUCUGUCACCACUUUAGCUCUAGAAUUAUUCUGAGACCCAGGCAACUCCAGUUUCUUUCCACUGUAUUUCUGAGCAUUUCCCCCAGUAUUUCUGAGGCUCUGCAGCUCUCCAGGGCAGUUCCCAACUACACGGCUGUCUGCAGGUUACGCUGGUUGAGGUUUUUUGGAUGUAUAUCUGACUGCACAGCAGCUGAAAAGGAGUUGUUCGCUUUGAUGCGCAGUCAACACACGGAUGGCUGGAGUUGUAACGCGCGCUUUGUCAGUGAGCGAGGAAACUAUCCGCGGGCUGGAAAAGGCAGCAGUGCCGAGGAACUCUGUGGUUAAUCGCUCUUGUUGUUCAGCGUGAAACCUGGGCUUGAGUGUUUUGUCGCCUGUUGUCGAGGAUGACUUGAAUGUAUUUUUCCUUGUCAUUGAAGAGUAUUUAUUUCAUUCCCUCCUCCCUGCGUUGUAGGAGUAAGAGCCCCAAGGUUCUCCCGGUGCGGUGCAACGCGACGCUGCGAAAGGAUGCGAUAAGAAACCCUGAUGCCCCGAGCACGUUGCCGUACGGGCCGCGUGUUUCUCCCGGAGUUUCGCCCGGGACACGGAAAGGUGACCGAAAGUAAAAAUCAUGCCCUGCUUCGGGGCGCAGUCUGUCGGGAGUACUUGAGGACGAGCGGCGUUUCCUGGGGGCAGACAGCGAGGGAUCCCGUGGGACGACGGCUGCACCGACUGACGGCAGACGGAAUUCUGGCGUUCAUCAGAUCACGCCAGCGCACGUGGUGCGAAGUAAAAAUCAUGCCCUGCUUCGGGGCGCAGUCUGUCGGGAGUACUUGAGGACGAGCGGCGUUUCCUGGGGGCAGACAGCGAGGGAUCCCGUGGGACGACGGCUGCACCGACUGACGGCAGACGGAAUUCUGGCGUUCAUCAGAUCACGCCAGCGCACGUGGUGCGAGGGGGAAAAGAAAAGAAAAAAGGGACGCCAAACCAAGAAGAGAACGUUGCCUGAAUCUUAUUUUUUCACCAAGGCUAUCUCCACCUGUUCUGUCUUUGAUUUUCCUUCUCACGCAAACGGCGGUGAAAAACAAUACGGAGAAAAAGGCUCCAGUGCUUGCCAACAGCGGCUUGGUUGUUCGCGUGAUGUAUCUCUCGUCCCAUCUCGAGGAAGAAAUCUGUUAGCGGUGUUACAAAUGAAGUAGCAUCCUGCUUUGGGCAGAAACUGUGCUGCAUUUGAAAGCCUGGGUAGGGCAGGCGGAGGUUGCCUUCUUGGGUCAGUGAUGAGUGUUGGCAUGUAUUACCUGAUGUAAAGCUGAUGUCUGUCACCACUUUAGCUCUAGAAUUAUUCUGAGACCCAGGCAACUCCAGUUUCUUUCCACUGUAUUUCUGAGCAUUUCCCCCAGUAUUUCUGAGGCUCUGCAGCUCUCCAGGGCAGUUCCCAACUACACGGCUGUCUGCAGGUUACGCUGGUUGAGGUUUUUUGGAUGUAUAUCUGACUGCACAGCAGCUGAAAAGGAGUUGUUCGCUUUGAUGCGCAGUCAACACACGGAUGGCUGGAGUUGUAACGCGCGCUUUGUCAGUGAGCGAGGAAACUAUCCGCGGGCUGGAAAAGGCAGCAGUGCCGAGGAACUCUGUGGUUAAUCGCUCUUGUUGUUCAGCGUGAAACCUGGGCUUGAGUGUUUUGUCGCCUGUUGUCGAGGAUGACUUGAAUGUAUUUUUCCUUGUCAUUGAAGAGUAUUUAUUUCAUUCCCUCCUCCCUGCGUUGUAGGAGUAAGAGCCCCAAGGUUCUCCCGGUGCGGUGCAACGCGACGCUGCGAAAGGAUGCGAUAAGAAACCCUGAUGCCCCGAGCACGUUGCCGUACGGGCCGCGUGUUUCUCCCGGAGUUUCGCCCGGGACACGGAAAGGUGACCGAAAGUAAAAAUCAUGCCCUGCUUCGGGGCGCAGUCUGUCGGGAGUACUUGAGGACGAGCGGCGUUUCCUGGGGGCAGACAGCGAGGGAUCCCGUGGGACGACGGCUGCACCGACUGACGGCAGACGGAAUUCUGGCGUUCAUCAGAUCACGCCAGCGCACGUGGUGCGAGGGGGAAAAGAAAAGAAAAAAGGGACGCCAAACCAAGAAGAGAACGUUGCCUGAAUCUUAUUUUUUCACCAAGGCUAUCUCCACCUGUUCUGUCUUUGAUUUUCCUUCUCACGCAAACGGCGGUGAAAAACAAUACGGAGAAAAAGGCUCCAGUGCUUGCCAACAGCGGCUUGGUUGUUCGCGUGAUGUAUCUCUCGUCCCAUCUCGAGGAAGAAAUCUGUUAGCGGUGUUACAAAUGAAGUAGCAUCCUGCUUUGGGCAGAAACUGUGCUGCAUUUGAAAGCCUGGGUAGGGCAGGCGGAGGUUGCCUUCUUGGGUCAGUGAUGAGUGUUGGCAUGUAUUACCUGAUGUAAAGCUGAUGUCUGUCACCACUUUAGCUCUAGAAUUAUUCUGAGACCCAGGCAACUCCAGUUUCUUUCCACUGUAUUUCUGAGCAUUUCCCCCAGUAUUUCUGAGGCUCUGCAGCUCUCCAGGGCAGUUCCCAACUACACGGCUGUCUGCAGGUUACGCUGGUUGAGGUUUUUUGGAUGUAUAUCUGACUGCACAGCAGCUGAAAAGGAGUUGUUCGCUUUGAUGCGCAGUCAACACACGGAUGGCUGGAGUUGUAACGCGCGCUUUGUCAGUGAGCGAGGAAACUAUCCGCGGGCUGGAAAAGGCAGCAGUGCCGAGGAACUCUGUGGUUAAUCGCUCUUGUUGUUCAGCGUGAAACCUGGGCUUGAGUGUUUUGUCGCCUGUUGUCGAGGAUGACUUGAAUGUAUUUUUCCUUGUCAUUGAAGAGUAUUUAUUUCAUUCCCUCCUCCCUGCGUUGUAGGAGUAAGAGCCCCAAGGUUCUCCCGGUGCGGUGCAACGCGACGCUGCGAAAGGAUGCGAUAAGAAACCCUGAUGCCCCGAGCACGUUGCCGUACGGGCCGCGUGUUUCUCCCGGAGUUUCGCCCGGGACACGGAAAGGUGACCGAAAGUAAAAAUCAUGCCCUGCUUCGGGGCGCAGUCUGUCGGGAGUACUUGAGGACGAGCGGCGUUUCCUGGGGGCAGACAGCGAGGGAUCCCGUGGGACGACGGCUGCACCGACUGACGGCAGACGGAAUUCUGGCGUUCAUCAGAUCACGCCAGCGCACGUGGUGCGAAGUAAAAAUCAUGCCCUGCUUCGGGGCGCAGUCUGUCGGGAGUACUUGAGGACGAGCGGCGUUUCCUGGGGGCAGACAGCGAGGGAUCCCGUGGGACGACGGCUGCACCGACUGACGGCAGACGGAAUUCUGGCGUUCAUCAGAUCACGCCAGCGCACGUGGUGCGAAGUAAAAAUCAUGCCCUGCUUCGGGGCGCAGUCUGUCGGGAGUACUUGAGGACGAGCGGCGUUUCCUGGGGGCAGACAGCGAGGGAUCCCGUGGGACGACGGCUGCACCGACUGACGGCAGACGGAAUUCUGGCGUUCAUCAGAUCACGCCAGCGCACGUGGUGCGGAGUAAGAGCUCCAAGGUUCUCCCGGUGCGGUGCAACGCGACGCUGCGAAAGGAUGCGAUAAGAAACCCUGAUGCCCCGAGCACGUUGCCGUACGGGCCGCGUGUUUCUCCCGGAGUUUCGCCCGGGACACGGAAAGGUGACCGAAAGUAAAAAUCAUGCCCUGCUUCGGGGCGCAGUCUGUCGGGAGUACUUGAGGACGAGCGGCGUUUCCUGGGGGCAGACAGCGAGGGAUCCCGUGGGACGACGGCUGCACCGACUGACGGCAGACGGAAUUCUGGCGUUCAUCAGAUCACGCCAGCGCACGUGGUGCGGUAAGUGCCGGCACAGGUCGUGAUCCUCAUCUUGUGUCGACCCCCAGCACGUCCGGGUAAAUGUGACAGGGUCGCUGUGGGAACAACCGCUUGCAAUUCAUGAUCUUGAGGACUGCAGACUUAGGAACUGGGUGCAGUUGGAUAUGGAUGGCAAGAACGGUUUUGGUACCUUAUUCAACAAUAAUCUGAUGGGCCCAACUUUAGGAUUCAUCUCCUAAAGAGAAUUGUCAGAUUUGGGAACAUUGUGCUUUCAAUGUUCCUUUACUGGUGGCUUUUUGUCUGCGUUUUUUGUGAAUUUUGUAGCAGUCUCCCCGAAACAUUGCUUAGGUACAGGUCGUAGCGGGAUCUUGUCGAUAACUGCUUGUGGAUUUCAUGAAUUCUCCUCAAGCGGGGGGU